ensembl:lncRNA
AGAAGUCAGGAAACAGACAUGGGGCAUUCUGGUGGGAAGCAGGCAGUAGGUCGGUGACAUCCUAGCCGGAUGUGGUGGCAGAGCUGGGAUGGACUUGCCGGGGUUAGGAAGCGGAGCUGGGACAUGCUCUCUGGAGUCAGAUGGUGGGGCUGUCGGCCCCUGGCGUGAGCAGGUCAUGGGAGGCUGCGCCGUUAGCCUCAGGUAUGAGCAGGUCAUUUGAGGCAGCACCAUCAGCCUCAGGCACUGCACCUUUCUGCACAGUGAUAAAUUGGCAUUAGACGUUCGCUGAAACUACUUUUGUCAUGGGAAGCUGCACCAUCUGCUUCUGGCAUGAGCAGGAGUGAUGGGUCUGCCUCGUCAGCCUCUGGCGGGUGCUCGGCUGUGGAAGGAGCUCUGUGGGGAGGCCGCGCUGUUGAUUACUGGCUGGAGCUCUGCUGGACACUUCACUUCCUUUGUAUCCA